GAUGAACGCUGGCGGCGUGCCUAAUACAUGCAAGUAGAACGCUGAAGCCUGGUGCUUGCACCGAGCAGAUGAGUUGCGAACGGGUGAGUAACGCGUAGGUAACCUGCCUCUUAGCGGGGGAUAACUAUUGGAAACGAUAGCUAAUACCGCAUAAAAGUCGACAUUGCAUGAUGUUGACCUGAAAGGUGCAAUUGCAUCACUAAGAGAUGGACCUGCGUUGUAUUAGCUAGUUGGUGAGGUAACGGCUCACCAAGGCAACGAUACAUAGCCGACCUGAGAGGGUGAUCGGCCACACUGGGACUGAGACACGGCCCAGACUCCUACGGGAGGCAGCAGUAGGGAAUCUUCGGCAAUGGGGGCAACCCUGACCGAGCAACGCCGCGUGAGUGAAGAAGGUUUUCGGAUCGUAGAGCUCUGUUGUAAGAGAAGAACGAGUGUGAGAGUGGAAAGUUCACACUGUGACGGUAACUUACCAGAAAGGGACGGCUAACUACGUGCCAGCAGCCGCGGUAAUACGUAGGUCCCGAGCGUUAUCCGGAUUUAUUGGGCGUAAAGCGAGCGCAGGCGGUUAGAUAAGUCUGAAGUUAAAGGCUGUGGCUUAACCAUAGUACGCUUUGGAAACUGUUUAACUUGAGUGCAGAAGGGGAGAGUGGAAUUCCAUGUGUAGCGGUGAAAUGCGUAGAUAUAUGGAGGAACACCGGUGGCGAAAGCGGCUCUCUGGUCUGUAACUGACGCUGAGGCUCGAAAGCGUGGGGAGCAAACAGG
rnacentral:rRNA from 1 species